rnacentral:rRNA from 1 species
AGAGUUUGAUCAUGGCUCAGAUUGAACGCUGGCGGCAGGCCUAACACAUGCAAGUCGAACGGUAACAGGAAACAGCUUGCUGUUUCGCUGACGAGUGGCGGACGGGUGAGUAAUGUCUGGGAAACUGCCUGAUGGAGGGGGAUAACUACUGGAAACGGUAGCUAAUACCGCAUAACGUCGCAAGACCAAAGAGGGGGACCUCGGGCCUCUUGCCAUCGGAUGUGCCCAGAUGGGAUUAGCUUGUUGGUGGGGUAACGGCUCACCAAGGCGACGAUCCCUAGCUGGUCUGAGAGGAUGACCAGCCACACUGGAACUGAGACACGGUCCAGACUCCUACGGGAGGCAGCAGUGGGGAAUAUUGCACAAUGGGCGCAAGCCUGAUGCAGCCAUGCCGCGUGUAUGAAGAAGGCCUUCGGGUUGUAAAGUACUUUCAGCGGGGAGGAAGGGAGUAAAGUUAAUACCUUUGCUCAUUGACGUUACCCGCAGAAGAAGCACCGGCUAACUCCGUGCCAGCAGCCGCGGUAAUACGGAGGGUGCAAGCGUUAAUCGGAAUUACUGGGCGUAAAGCGCACGCAGGCGGUUUGUUAAGUCAGAUGUGAAAUCCCCGGGCUCAACCUGGGAACUGCAUCUGAUACUGGCAAGCUUGAGUCUCGUAGAGGGGGGUAGAAUUCCAGGUGUAGCGGUGAAAUGCGUAGAGAUCUGGAGGAAUACCGGUGGCGAAGGCGGCCCCCUGGACGAAGACUGACGCUCAGGUGCGAAAGCGUGGGGAGCAAACAGGAUUAGAUACCCUGGUAGUCCACGCCGUAAACGAUGUCGACUUGGAGGUUGUGCCCUUGAGGCGUGGCUUCCGGAGCUAACGCGUUAAGUCGACCGCCUGGGGAGUACGGCCGCAAGGUUAAAACUCAAAUGAAUUGACGGGGGCCCGCACAAGCGGUGGAGCAUGUGGUUUAAUUCGAUGCAACGCGAAGAACCUUACCUGGUCUUGACAUCCACAGAACUUUCCAGAGAUGGAUUGGUGCCUUCGGGAACUGUGAGACAGGUGCUGCAUGGCUGUCGUCAGCUCGUGUUGUGAAAUGUUGGGUUAAGUCCCGCAACGAGCGCAACCCUUAUCCUUUGUUGCCAGCGGUCCGGCCGGGAACUCAAAGGAGACUGCCAGUGAUAAACUGGAGGAAGGUGGGGAUGACGUCAAGUCAUCAUGGCCCUUACGACCAGGGCUACACACGUGCUACAAUGGCGCAUACAAAGAGAAGCGACCUCGCGAGAGCAAGCGGACCUCAUAAAGUGCGUCGUAGUCCGGAUUGGAGUCUGCAACUCGACUCCAUGAAGUCGGAAUCGCUAGUAAUCGUGGAUCAGAAUGCCACGGUGAAUACGUUCCCGGGCCUUGUACACACCGCCCGUCACACCAUGGGAGUGGGUUGCAAAAGAAGUAGGUAGCUUAACCUUCGGGAGGGCGCUUACCACUUUGUGAUUCAUGACUGGGGUGAAGUCGUAACAAGGUAACCGUAGGGGAACCUGCGGUUGGAUCACCU